rnacentral:rRNA from 1 species
UACGGAGGAUCCAAGCGUUAUCCGGAUUUAUUGGGUUUAAAGGGUGCGUAGGCGGAUUGAUAAGUUAGAGGUGAAAUGUCCGAGCCCAACUCGGGAACUGCCUCUAAUACUGUUGAUCUAGAGAGUAGAUGCGGUAGGCGGAAUGUAUGGUGUAGCGGUGAAAUGCUUAGAGAUCAUACAGAACACCGAUUGCGAAGGCAGCUUACCAAUCUAUAUCUGACGUUGAGGCACGAAAGCGUGGGGAGCAAACAGG